CUGGGGAACUUUUCUCAGGGUAUGUGAUUAUACAUGUGCUAAAUAGUAAAUGCAAUUACAUGUUUUGUUUGCGGUGAUUAAAAAAAAAUCUUACGGUAAUUCCUUGAUUGUUUUGCAUUUUUGGUUUAGACCAUUUGGGUAUAGUUUAUGAUAGGAACUGUUGAAUGACUUGAUUGUUAAUGGCACGCUUGUAUGAUCUUUUGUCAUAAGUGUUACAGUUAUUGGAGGAAAACUAAUUAUAGGGACUUUCUGUAGACAUUUUUAAUUUAUGUUGCAUUCUUGUUGUUAGGAGUAAGGAUUUUAAUGUGUUCUGUGUCAAAAAUUUUAUACCAGCUAACCCAUUUAGGGAGCCAAGAAGAAGGAUGUUUAUGCAUGGGUAAUUGUGUUAUUACUGAUUAGUAUGGUUUAUGAAUUAGAAAUGAUUUUGCUGUACCUAACUCUUUACUAAACUCUCUUUGUGCAACAUAUUUUUAGUUUUUAAUGUUGACCAAUGUCAAAUGUGUUAGUGAUUGAGUUUCUACCAUCAUGUAACCCUUGAGUUGAGAAGAUUAAGCAUCUUUAAGAUGCUUAUAAUUGUAGCUGAGCCCUGAACAUGUAGAAGUAUAUUAGAAUCUAAGUCGUCUGGUCACUUCUUAUGAUUCAUGCAUUUCUUAUCCAUUGCAAAGAUAUUUUAUAAUAAGAACACAUAAAUGUGUCUAAGGUGAAUACACAAUGUUAGUAUGCACUAAUGAUUUUUGAACAAUAUUGCUGGGGAAGGGAAAGGAAUGGAUGGAAGUACUCGUAUCCAUUGGAAAAGCACAUGGUAGCUACAAUGGGCCUAUUUACUUUUAGGAAACAGUUCUUUAUUUUUCAUUUUCCAUUUUGUAAGAAAACUAUGGUUUUCAUCUUUAAUGAAAACUAAGGGCAAACAUGAAAAUGUGGUCACCUAUCAAUAACAGAAAAUAGUUUUCUAAUUCAAAAAAUUAAAA
rnacentral:misc_RNA from 1 species